UCCUUCCCUAGGUGAGCCUUCAGAUGAGACCCCAACCCUGAUGGACACUUUCACUGCAGCCUGGUGAGAGACUGUGAAGCAGAGGACCCGGUUACACCAUCCUCAGAAUCCUGACCCACAGGCAUUGCAGUUUAUAGCACUGAUCUAUCAGUACCACUUGCUGACUUCGAUGGGAAGAUGGUUUUUUCUGCAGGUGCCUAGUUUGAUGAGAUGUCCUGUGAGAACUUAAAGUGAGAAGGAGCUGGAAGCAGGACUGUCUCUCUUUUGAUGAGAAGAAGAAUAACCUCAUUCUGAAUCAAUGAAAAUACUUCCGUCUUCUUGCCACUGGAUAUAUGUUAUCUGCACUUACAGAAUUGAAAGUGUGCAUCAAAGGAGCAUUCUCUUGGGAAGAAAGUUUUAUAGGGGAAGUCUGGAUGCUGGUGGAGCAGUGAGAAAGAAGAACUUAUUUUACCUCUGACUUGAGCACUGAAAAGAUACACCUUCACCACUGUUGCAACUCCAUACUUCUAAGAACGGCCAGAACUACUUUCCAAUGACUUCUUUCUACCACACUUCUCCUCCUCAGUGUAAGAGGAUGAAAGCACAUGAUGACAUUUGAAGCAAGAAGAUUGAAGAAUUGCUGCCUGCUAACCCAAGGCUUGGAUUAGUACAAUCUUUUUAGCUUUUUACUGUGAAGUUCAGGGAUCACAAAUGUUGUUUCAUCCAUGGAACUUUUGCAACUUGUUAUUUUCAUACCUGAGAUCUGGGGGAAAGUUUAGUCUAAAUGGCUUCUAAAAUAGCCAUUAGCUCAGGAGAUACGCAGCCAAUGCAUGUGACAGGAGCUUUGCUCAUAUUACCCUGUUUUUUGGUCAUGUAGUUUUUGGUUUUUUUUUUAAAUGAUGUCAUUUAAAAACUUUGCUUUUUGGGAAUGAUUCCCCCCACUAUUUUUCUAUAGAGGGUCAGGAAAAUGCAUAAAUAAUUUCUGGGCUUGGGUGCAGAAGAUACACAUGCUGACAAACAGAAAUCUAAAGUGUUAAAGGAGAUUGUCCUUUGAAGAAACUUUUCCAGGCUUGAGUUCUAUAUUUUUGGAUUUGACUCAGUGAAAAAUCUUUACUGAGUACCUAGUAUAUGCCCAGCAUUCUGCUGCAUUAUAGGGGUUGGGGGACUAUAGUCCAGUUGGGAUACAGGAAGGAUGGAGAGAGAAUACAUAUAGUUACAGCACAAGGCAGAAUAAGUUAUAGUAUACAAUGGGCUAUGGAAUAUUGUGGAGGAAGAGAGCAUUUUUAAUUAGUGGAGUCAGGAAAUGCAUUACCAAGGUGAUGGCAUUCUUGCUGGGUCAUGAAGGAUAGAUAGGAUUUUGGCAGGUGAGGAGCCAUUCUAAUGCAAGAGAACAAUAAUAGAAAAAGCCCAGUGGUCCACUGAGGGUAGGAGCAGGGAAAUAAAGGGCGGCUGGGUUUAUACUGUGAUUACUGAGCUGCAGGCACGCAGUUGUCCACGCCCUCCUCCUUGAACCACUUUUUUUAAAAAAUAUAAAUUUAUUUAUUUAUUUAUGUUUGGCUGUGUUGGGUCUUUGUUGCUGAG